rnacentral:rRNA from 1 species
AUUGAACGCUGGCGGCAGGCCUAACACAUGCAAGUCGAGCGAGCGGCGGACGGGUGAGUAAUGUAUGGGAAACUGCCCGAUGGAGGGGGAUAACUACUGGAAACGGUAGCUAAUACCGCAUACUAUCGGAUGUGCCCAGAUGGGAUUAGCUAGUGGGUGAGGUAAGGGCUCACCUAGGCGACGAUCCCUAGCUGGUCUGAGAGGAUGACCAGCCACACUGGGACUGAGACACGGUCCAGACUCCUACGGGAGGCAGCAGUGGGGAAUAUUGCACAAUGGGCGCAAGCCUGAUGCAGCCAUGCCGCGUGUAUGAAGAAGGCCUUAGGGUUGUAAAGUACUUUCAGCCGGGAGGCGUUACCGACAGAAGAAGCACCGGCUAACUCCGUGCCAGCAGCCGCGGUAAUAC